AACAUGAGUCAAACUUGUAAUCUAUAGAUUCCUUACUCAUGUAUCAUUGUCCCAGAAAGAAUUUGUAAGGAUUGGAAGCAAGAAAAAUUUUUAGAAGCGAGAAGGAAGAGAAAGGAAAAAUUUCUGAACUUGGGUCGACCCAACGUUGAGUCGACCCAAGAAAAUUCUUGAGUCGACCCAACGUCGGGACCCCACUGUUAAAAGGGGGACCCGUGAGCUUCUAGGGCACUGUUUACCCUUUGUCCUCUUCCGAAAACCCUAUUCCCCACUCUC
rnacentral:lncRNA from 1 species